AUUGAACGCAGGCGGCAUGCCUUACACAUGCAAGUCGAACGGCAGCAUGAUCUAGCUUGCUAGAUUGAUGGCGAGUGGCGAACGGGUGAGUAAUACAUCGGAACGUGCCCUGUAGUGAGGGAUAACUAGUCGAAAGAUUAGCUAAUACCGCAUACGACCUGAGGGUGAAAGUGGGGGACCGCAAGGCCUCAUGCUAUAGGAGCGGCCGAUGUCUGAUUAGCUGGUUGGUGAGGUAAAGGCUCACCAAGGCGACGAUCAGUAGCUGGUCUGAGAGGACGAUCAGCCACACUGGGACUGAGACACGGCCCAGACUCCUACGGGAGGCAGCAGUGGGGAAUUUUGGACAAUGGGGGCAACCCUGAUCCAGCAAUGCCGCGUGUGUGAAGAAGGCCUUCGGGUUGUAAAGCACUUUUGUCCGGAAAGAAAUCGCACUUACUAAUAUUAGGUGUGGAUGACGGUACCGGAAGAAUAAGGACCGGCUAACUACGUGCCAGCCGCCGCAGUAACAC
rnacentral:rRNA from 1 species